CGGGAUUUAGCGCAGUUGGUAGCGCACUACGUUCGGGACGUAGGGGUCGCUGGUUCGAGUCCAGUAAUCCCGA
rfam:Prevotella sp. CAG:1058 genomic scaffold, scf105